rnacentral:tmRNA from 1 species
UUUAUAGCAUUUUUUAAUGUAAAGCUCUAUAAUAAAAGGGCAGGGCUUGCCCUGUUAUGACGCUAAACGCGGUUGCGGAAUAAGCGUUGUGGACCCGGGGGCAGUACCCGGCAGCUCCACCAUUUAUCAUUAUUCUUAUAUAUCAAUAGGAUAGGUGGUAAAAAAUGGGGCUGAAACAGGAUCGACACGCGUGGUAAAGGCUUCUUGCGGCGUUCGGUGUUUCCGCCGAUAUCGGAUAAAUUUAGUAACUGCAAACGAUAAUGCGCAGUUCGUAGCCGCUAACGAUAACAUCGUUGGUGACGUCGCUAUUGCCGCCUAAUUUGGCUGCGUAGCAUAGCUACAUUAAUUCCUUGCCGUUGAACUGGUUAAGGUGGGGUUAGCCAGCCCCUCGCAACAGAAUGCUGGCACU